CCUACGGGAGGCAUCAGUGGGGAAUAUUGCGCAAUGGGCGAAAGCCUGACGCAGCGACGCCGCGUGAGGGAUGAAGGUCUUCGGAUCGUAAACCUCUGUCAGCAGGGAAGAACGGUCACUGUGCUAAUCAGCAGUGAAUUGACGGUACCUGCAAAGGAAGCACCGGCUAACUCCGUGCCAGCAGCCGCGGUAAUACGGAGGGUGCGAGCGUUAAUCGGAAUUACUGGGCGUAAAGCGCUCGUAGGCGGUAUGUCAAGUCAAGGGUGAAAGCCCCGCGCUCAACGUGGGAACUGCCUUUGAAACUGGCAAACUGGAGUGUGUGAGAGGAUAGUGGAAUGCCAGGUGUAGGAGUGAAAUCCGUAGAUAUCUGGAGGAACAUCAGUGGCGAAGGCGACUAUCUGGCACAUAACUGACGCUGAGGAGCGAAAGCGUGGGUAGCAAACAGGAUUAGAUACCCGGGUAGUC
rnacentral:rRNA from 1 species